rfam:Sus scrofa isolate TJ Tabasco breed Duroc chromosome 1, whole genome shotgun sequence.
UCCCUGGUGGUUUAGUGGUUAAGAUUCUGCACUUUCACUGCUGUGGUCUAGGUUCAAUCCCUGGUCUGGGAA